UAUAUAUAUUCUUCUUACUUUUGUGUUUUUGUGUGUUUUUUGUGUAUGUUCUUCUUACUUUUUUUGCAACAGCUGAGAACAGGUGAAGGAGCAGAACUAAAAAUACAUAAGGAUGGAGAACAGAGAGAACAAGUGAAAGAACAAAUUUUUCACUUUUAACUUCACAUUCUUCACUUUUAUUUUAACAGAGAUAACAUGUAAAUUUGAUUUUAAUUUCACAUUUUUCACUUUUCUUCUUCUUUUUCCUUAAUAUGCAUUCAUUAGUGCGCUAACCUUUUGUUGUUGCUUGAUGGAAGUAGGUUCUGUGUGUGUGGUUCUUUAUAAUUGUGUACAUAAAAUUACAUAAAGGUAUCCCAUAUAAUGAAGUAGAACCUUUCAGUUAUAUGAGGGGAUGAGGGCGUUGGUGAGGUGUCUCAUUGCUGCAAGUUAGCAUUUUUUAUAACCUUUUUGGCUUAAAAUUUCUUGAUAAUUUUUGGGGUUUUCUUCAUUGAGGGAAUUGUGCUUUGUUUCUUACAAAUUCGUUGCUUUUAACAGAGUUUGGAGUAACAGCUAAUUUGUUUCACUCAGUAAAUUGUUUCAUGUUACAGCCUAAUACAUUGAAAAUUUGUUGAUUCUUUCUCCUAUAAUUGUUCUACUUAAUGAGUUACUGCAUUUCUGUAAUUGAUCAGCUUCUGGGAUUUUGUUAUGCUCCGGAGCAGUUGGUGCAGUGUGCAUAAGUAAAAGAUCUGUAGAAGGAUAUAGUGGGCUGCGUAUUCAGCCACACAAAGCAAUUGUUGGAGCUAAUGCUUUUGCUCUUAAAAGUUGAAUUCAUCAAGUUGGUGUUCAAUGGUUUGCAUGAGUUGGACCCUUUUAAGUUGUAACUGAAAUUAUUGUUUAUGCAUUUUAUUUGAGUUUUAUGCAGGAUGAAUGCUGAAACAUAGAAACAUGUACGAAAUUAUAUAUGUCUCCUGAAGAUAUUGGACUUCUUCGUUCUAAUGAAUCUGGUAUAGUGCUUGGAAAACUCAGUGGACGCCAUGCUCUGAAAGCUAAAAUGUUGGAGCUUGGGUAUGAUAUAUGGAUGGAAAGGAACUUGAUGAUCUAUUUUCACGCUUCAAAGCUGUAGCUGGAAAUAAAAAGUGAGGUAUUGAGUGCACCUGUGAAACGCAUAGAUGAAAUUCUUGCACUUCCACAUUCAGCUGAUGAUUUCGAGAGUCUGGAGCUUCCAACAUCUGAUGAUGAUUCAUGGCUUUAUGGAGGGGAAGAUGAAGUGAAUGCAGCUCUUCAGGAAAGGCAAAAGGAGAUAGACUUUGUCAAAUUCAAAAAAAAAAACUAUAUAUAAGUCAAAAAGAGCAGGAAGAGCAGGGCUCAGCAUCUUGGGGGAAUCGCUAAAUCCAUGCAGUCAUUUAUUGAGAAGAUGUCAAGCUACAAGGGAGCUGAGCUUCUGGAAGACAGGUAACAACGGUAGAGUGAGGUCGCCAACAAAGUGUGGGCCACGCAAUGGCAACUCCAAUGUAACAGAUAACGGAGAUUGGACCAACUACAGUCAGCGACCGAGGCAGGCCAGUCGAGAUCGGCUUCAGUAAUCUGCAUUCAUAACUAUGCCAUUGAAUAUCAUGCUUAUAGAGCUACAUUCCUUGCCUAUGAUGCAACACAUCAUUAAACUAUAUCUUUUAAAAAAACCAUUUUUUUUUUUUUGCAAUAAGUAGGCAAUUUUUUAUUGCUUUUUUCUCUCUCAUUUUUGUCGAUAGAGACAUGAAAGGUAUGCUGUGUAUAUUUGGCCUCAUUUUGAGCUAUGCGCGAUUCUGGGCUGAUUUGGUGGCUAAAUUUAGGUUUUGUGAGCCCAAUUUUAGUAUUUAGUGAUUUA